rnacentral:rRNA from 1 species
GACAGAGGGUGCAAACGUUGCUCGGAAUCACUGGGCGUAAAGGGCGUGUAGGCGGGAGAGCAAGUCGGGCGUGAAAUCCCUAGGCUCAACCUAGGAACUGCACUCGAAACUUCUUUUCUUGAGUGCCGGAAAGGAAAGCGGAAUACCUGGUGUAGAGGUGAAAUUCGUAGAUAUCAGGUGGAACACCAGUGGCGAAGGCGGCUUUCUGGACGGUAACUGACGCUGAGACGCGAAAGCGUGGGGAGCAAACAGG